GCCUGGCUGGCUUAGUCCAUAAAGCAUGAGAUUCUUGAUCUCAGGAUCAUGGGUUUGAGUCCCAUGUUGGGCU
rnacentral:tRNA from 1 species